rnacentral:rRNA from 1 species
CCUACGGUGGGCAGCAGUGGGGAAUAUUGCACAAUGGGGGAAACCCUGAUGCAGCAACGCCGCGUGAGUGAAGAAGUAUUUCGGUAUGUAAAGCUCUAUCAGCAGGGAAGAAGAUGACGGUACCUGAAUAAGAAGCCCCGGCUAACUACGUGCCAGCAGUCGCGGUAAUACGUAGGGGGCAAGCGUUAUCCGGAUUUACUGGGGGGAAAGGGAGCGCAGACGGCAGUGCAAGUCUGAUGUGAAAGGCAGGGGCCCAACCCCGGAACUGCAGUGGAAACUGUUCGGCGAGAGUACAGGAGGGGCAGGCGGAAGUCCUAGUGUAGCGGUGAAAUGCGUAGAUAUUAGGAGGAACACCAGGGGCGAAGGCGGCCUGCUGGACAGUAACUGACGUUGAGGCUCGAAAGCGUGGGGAGCAAACAGGAUUAGAUACCCGAGUAGUC